CUACAACAUUCACUAUAAGCUAAAGAUGUUGAACUGCAGCCUUACUCUCCCUACCCAAGCAACCUUGGACCACUGGAUGGAAUCGCAAAGCUUUUGGCAUCACAUGCCAGUGUGUUUUUAAUCCAAUCAUAGUCUCAAAACAAGUUUCUGAGUUCAAAGGCUUUGCAAUCCCCAUCCUUACUUCCAUUGUGCUAUCUCUAUCUCUAUCUCUACCUCUAUCAAGAUUAAGGGUGAGCAGAAGUUAUAUUUCACUUUAUGGUCAUUUGUCUUUAAACAUGCUUAUGUUCAGGGAAUUCAUUCAUUUAUUUUUUUUACAAUUAUGGGCCAGACCCUUUAUUGUAAUAAACUUUCAAGUCUUGCUGAACCCUAAAUUAUGCAUAUUGCUUAUUGCUGAAAGAUUUAACCAUUAUCCACUGUAUGAAGCCCUGCAACCUUUAAAGCACCCAGGCUCAGGCUCCAUGAGCCUACUCUGAGGAUCCAGAUGGAAAAACAUUUACAUCCCAUCAUUAUAUACACCCCUCAGGAUCACCUUGUCUAUUAGACACAUUACUCAAGGUACAGUAAAUAAUCUCCAUUAUAAAUCAGUGCAUGAUGAUAUAAAAUCACAGUGAUGUUGCUUUGUGUUUUCAGAGGGCAGAAAUAAUUUGUUCCAUACCAUCCUCAUAUCUAUCCUCAUGUGCAAAGGAGGCCAGCAUAAUGUCAAAUCAAGAUCUUAUUUGUGAUCUGUUUGUUUUCAGUCUUAUAGCAUGGCAAAAGCACAACCCUCAGAAUUAAAGGGGAAAAUGCACAAGCAUCUAGAUGUAAUGAAUACUAAAAAAAAGACUAUUUUUUAAUGUAUAAACUAAGUUUUUCCAACUACAGUAAUGUAAAUUUUUUUGCAUGAUUUCAAACAUUUUUGUGAUACACUAUCAUUACUUUCAGGCCUAACCUGAAUACAAAUGAAGCACAGCAAACCUGUUUUAGAUGUACAAGACAAUGUUUUGAACCUCAAAACUAAAGUAUUUAUGUGUUGAAAAUGAUCAAAAUGUAUAGAUUUUCCCCUCUGUUUAAAGGGCAGGUGAUUGAAAAUAAUAUGAACAAAAUGGUUAUAUAGGUAUUAUAAUGUAUUUUGCAUUAUGCCUGAAAUAAAAUUUUGAUCGAAACUGAAUUUAUUUUAUCG
ensembl:lncRNA